GAUGAACGCUGGCGGCGUGCCUAAUACAUGCAAGUUGAGCGAAUGGAUUAAGAGCUUGCUCUUAUGAAGUUAGCGGCGGACGGGUGAGUAACCCGUGGGUAACCUGCCCAUAAGACUGGGAUAACUCAGGGAAACCGGGGCUAAUACCGGAUAACAUUUUGAACCGCAUGGUUCGAAAUUGAAAGGCGGAUUCGGCUGUCACUUAUGGAUGGACCCGCGUCGCAUUAGCUAGUUGGUGAGGUAACGGCUCACCAAGGCAACGAUGCGUAGCCGACCUGAGAGGGUGAUCGGCCACACUGGGACUGAGACACGGCCCAGACUCCUACGGGAGGCAGCAGUAGGGAAUCUUCCGCAAUGGACGAAAGUCUGACGGAGCAACGCCGCGUGAGUGAUGAAGGCUUUCGGGUCGUAAAACUCUGUUGUUAGGGAAGAACAAGUGCUAGUUGAAUAAGCUGGCACCUUGACGGUACCUAACCAGAAAGCCACGGCUAACUACGUGCCAGCAGCCGCGGUAA
rnacentral:rRNA from 1 species